rnacentral:rRNA from 1 species
UACGGGGGGGGCAAGCGUUGUUCGGAUUUACUGGGCGUAAAGGGCUCGUAGGUGGCCAAUUAAGUCGGACGUGAAAUCCCCAGGCUCAACUUGGGAACUGCGUCUGAUACUGGUUGGCUUGAAUCCGGGAGAGGGAUGCGGAAUUCCAGGUGUAGCGGUGAAAUGCGUAGAUAUCUGGAGGAACACCGGUGGCGAAGGCGGCAUCCUGGACCGGCAUUGACGCUGAGGAGCGAAAGCCAGGGGAGCAAACGGG